GAGGGUAUACCUCAGUGGUAGAGCACAUGCUUAGCAUGCACAAGGUCCUGGGUUCGAUCCCCAGUACCUCCA
rnacentral:tRNA from 1 species